rnacentral:lncRNA from 1 species
GAGAAGUUACAUAUGCUUCAAAUAUUUCUUCCCUGGUUGUUUUCCUUUUCAGCCAGCCCUCUGUUCUUGACCCAUUCAUCUUUUGCAUACUUAGAGAGUUUCUUAUCUAUUUUCAUAGGCUCCUGCACGAUGAGGAUAAUAACUCUUCAUCCCCCAUCACUGUUUGUACGUUCCUUUACAGCAGGGGUCCCUAGCCCCCAGGCCAGUACUGCUCUCAGCCUUUAGGUGUGAGGAACCCGGCACAAAGCAGGAAGUCAGCAGAGUAAGCAAAGCUUCAUCUGCAUUUACAGCCACCUCCAACAGCUGAAAUUACUGCCUGAGCUCUGCCUCCUGUCAGAUCAGCCACAGCAUCAGAUACUCACAGGAGCAAGAACUCUGUCGUGAGCUGUGCAUGCGAGGGAUCUAGACUGCGUGCUCCUUAUGAGAGUCUAAUGCCUGAUGACCUGUCGCUAUCUUCCAUCACCCCCAGGUGGGACGAUCUAGUUGCAAGAAAACAAGCUCAGGUCUCCCACUAAUUCUACAUGAUGUUUCCCAGGUAAUUCUGAUCCACAUCAAAGCUCGAAGACCACUAGACAAUCAUUGAGAAGGUGUAUAUUGUUCAGCUCCUGCAACAGAAGAGAUUUUCCUAAAUGGCCUCUCCACUCACAUGGAGGAAUGCUAAUAAGGACCUGCUCUACAAACUCAUUCCUGCAGUACUCUAGACAUGAUGUUGAAGCUGCUGUUUAUCCUUUCUGUGAAGCUCCAUGUGAAAGAAAAAAUUUUAAACCCACUGGUCUAGCAAAUCUUGGUUCAUCCUGAAGCAUUAAUAUACUUUGAGGGAGGGGAAAUAGGAACAGCGAGUAUUUGUAAUUAUAUUUUUCAUUUCCUUUUGGUGGCCAGGAUUCUUUCCUCAAUUUGAGUUUUCAUACCUAUUCUUUUGCCUGAUGGAAUCGUAUGAAAUUCUUGGAUUUCCACCAGAUGUGUCCUUCUAUUAUCUGUACAUUUUCUACAUAUAUGUCAUAUGCCAGAAUUUAACACUGAUUUUCCUGUUUAUCAGAAUGCUUAUAUUCCUGGAUGCCUUCUCAGAGCCUUUUUGUAGAAUGAUAGAAUGAGGCACGGCGAGUGUGCGCGUGUGUGGUUGCUUAUCCACCUAUUUAUAUUUCUUUAAAAAAAUAUUUAUUUAUGGCUGGGCGCGGUGGCUCAUGCCUGUAAUCCCAGCACUUUGGGAGGCUGAAACGGGUGGAUCAUGAGGUCAGGAGAUCGAGACCAUCCUGGCUAACAUGGUGAAACCCCGUCUCUACUAAAAAUACAAAAAAAAAAAAUUAGCCGGGUGUGGUGGUGGGCACCUGUAGUUCCAGCUACUCGGGAGGCUGAGGCAGAAUGGUGUAAACCCAGGAGGCAGAGCUUGCAGUGAGCCGCGAUCAUGCCACUGCACUCCAGCCUGGGUGACAGAGUGAGACUACAUCUCAAAAACAAAACAACAACAACAAAA